UGGAAAGUGUUUACUUUGCCAAUUCUGGGAUG
rnacentral:piRNA from 1 species